rnacentral:rRNA from 1 species
AGAGUUUGAUCCUGGCUCAGAUUGAACGCUGGCGGCAUGCCUUACACAUGCAAGUCGAACGGCAGCACGGGUGCUUGCACCUGGUGGCGAGUGGCGAACGGGUGAGUAAUGUAUCGGAACGUACCAUUCAGUGGGGGAUAACUAUCCGAAAGGAUAGCUAAUACCGCAUAUUCUGUGAGCAGGAAAGCAGGGGAUCGCAAGACCUUGCGCUGAUUGAGCGGCCGAUAUCAGAUUAGCUAGUUGGUGGGGUAAAAGCCUACCAAGGCGACGAUCUGUAGCGGGUCUGAGAGGAUGAUCCGCCACACUGGAACUGAGACACGGUCCAGACUCCUACGGGAGGCAGCAGUGGGGAAUUUUGGACAAUGGGCGAAAGCCUGAUCCAGCCAUGCCGCGUGAGUGAAGAAGGCCUUCGGGUUGUAAAGCUCUUUCGGCCGGGAAGAAAUCGCAUAGGUUAAUACCCUGUGUGGAUGACGGUACCGGAAUAAGAAGCACCGGCUAACUACGUGCCAGCAGCCGCGGUAAUACGUANGGUGCGAGCGUUAAUCGGAAUUACUGGGCGUAAAGCGUGCGCAGGCGGUUUUUUAAGACAGGCGUGAAAUCCCCGGGCUUAACCUGGGAACUGCGCUUGUGACUGGAAGGCUANAGUACNGCANANGGGGGUGGAAUUNCACCUGUANCANUGAAAUGCNUA